rnacentral:lncRNA from 1 species
AUGCAAAAAAGCAAAAUGGCUGUCUGGGGAGGCCUUACAAAUAGCUCUGAAAAGAGAGAGGCGAAAAGCAAAGAAGAAAAGGAAAGAUAUAAGCAUUUGAAUGCAGACUUCCAAAGAAGAGCAAGAAGAGAUAAGAAAGCUUUCUUCAGUGAUCAAUGCAAAGAAAUAGAGGAAAAGAACAGAAGGGGAAAGCCUAGAGAUUUCUUCAAGAAAAUUAGAGACACCAAGGGAACAUCUCAUGUAAAGAUGGGCUCGAUAAAGGACAGAAAUGGUCUAGACCUAACAGAAGCAGAAGAUAUUAAGAAGAGGUGGCAAGAAUACAUGGAAGAACUGUACAAAAAAGAUCUUCAUGACCCAGAUAAUCAUGAUGAUGUGAUCACUCAUUUAGAGCCAGACAUCUUGGAAUGUGAAGUCAAGUGGGCCUUAGAAAGCAUCACUAAGAACAAAGCUAGUGGAGGUGAUGGAAUUCCAGGUGAGCUAUUUCAAAUCCUGAAAGAUGAUGCUGUGAAAGUGCUGCACUCAAUAUGCCAGCAAAUUUGGAAAACUCAGCAGUGGCCACAGGAUUGGAAAAGGUCAGUUUUCAUUCCAAUCCCCAAGAAAGGCAAUGCCAAGGAAUGCUCAAACUACUGCACAAUUGCACUCAUCUCACAUGCUAGUAAAGUAAUGCUCAAAAUUCUCCAAGCCAGGCUUCAGCAAUACAUGAACUGUGAACUUCCUGAUGUUCAAGCUGGUUUUAGAAAAGGCAGAGGAACCAGAGAUCAAAUUGCCAACAUCCGCUGGGUCAUCGAAAAAGCAAGAGAGUUCCAGAAAGACAUCUAUUUCUGCUUUAUUGACUAUGCCAAAGCCUUUGACUGUGUGGAUCACAAUAAACUGUGGAAAAUUCUUCAAGAGACAGGAAUACCAGACCACCUAACCUGCCUCUUGAGAAAUCUGUAUGCAGGUCAGGAAGCAACAGUUAGAACUGGACAUGGAACAACAGACUGGUUCCAAAUAGGAAAAGGAGUACAUCAAGGCUGUAAUUUGUCACCCUACUUAUUCAACUUCUAUGCAGAGUACAUCAUGAGAAAUGCUGGACUGGAGGAAACACAAGCUGGAAUCAAGAUUCCCGGGAGAAAUAUCAAUCACCUCAGAUAUGCAGAUGACACCACCCUUAUGGCAGAAAGUGAAGAGGAGCUAAAGAGCCUCUUGAUGAAAGUGAAAGAGGAGAGUGAAAAAGUUGGCUUAAAGCUCAACAUUCAGAAAACGAAGAUCAUGGCAUCCGGUCCCAUCACUUCAUGGGAAAUAGAUGGGGAAACAGUAGAAACAGUAUCAGACUUUAUUUUUUUGGUCUCCAAAAUCACUGCAGAUGGUGACUACAACCAUGAAAUUAAAAGACGCUUACUCCUUGGAAGAAAAGUUAUGACCAACCUAGAUAGCAUAUUCAAAAGCAGAGACAUUACUUUGCUAACGAAGGUCUGUCUAGUCAAGGCUAUGGUUUUUCCUGUGGUCAUGUAUGGAUGUGAGAGUUGGACUGUGAAGAAGGCUGAGCGCCAAAAAAAAAAAAAAAAAGAAGAAGGCUGA